AGCUAAAAACGCUUUGAUAGGUUGUCCAAACAAUAUGUAAAACAUAAGUCAUACGUUAACUGUUUCCGUUAUUGUAGCCUAUUUGUUUGACUAUAAAUAUUUGUCAGUUAUUUACUGUAUCCCACCCUACAUCUACUAUUCCAUUACCGGUUAACGUACAGCUUGAUGUUAUCAAUUAGUUCCAUAUAAUCCACAUUUGAAAAUUAUGAACAAAUCGAUUAUAUAAAAACAUACGUGGGUUGUAUCACAGAUGGUAACAUUUUGGGAAAACAUUCAUUGAUGGUUACAUACUGUUCACAAAACUGAAACAGUUGCCACACAUACAUUGAACAUUUUAUGGUUUCAGAUUAAACAUACCGUAAGUGGUAUGGUUAUGUGACGCUUGUGUGCGUUUGGCUAGUUCGGUGAAAUUUUUUCAUCAGUCGGUUGUCAUAUUUGUUUUCAUUUCUUCGAAAAGCAUUUCGGGAGUUCCUGGGGUGCCGGAACAUUAGUUGACUCCAGCAUGCUGUUGCAAAAUAUUCUCAGAAUUCCAUAAAUACGAUACAAUAAUGCCACAAAACUUUGCGGGACAUUAUUACGUCUAUCAAUGCUGGGCCUUAGAGCAAGAAAUGGAUCGCUGAACUUGAUUUUAGACCGAUUCGCAGCUUUCAGCAGUUGAGCAGUGAUGUUUUUGAUGUGGCUCAUUUGACGCAAUAAAGUUCCGGAGAUAGGAAACCUUGCCACUGAAUGAGACGAGCCCAGCUGAAAUAAUUUUGUUUCAUUUUGCUUGGCUUUUAAAAUGUUGACUUUAGAUCGUUUAAAUACAUGUAAUGCUAAAAUAUUUUA